rnacentral:tRNA from 4 species
UCCCGGAUAGUGUAAUGGUAACACACCUCCCUUUGGAGGAGGUUUUCUAGGUUCGAAUCCUAGUCCGGGAA